UACGGAGGAUGCAAGCGUUAUCCGGAUUUAUUGGGUUUAAAGGGUGCGUAGGCUGUGGGGAAAGUCAGGGGUGAAAGCCCGGCGCUUAACGCCGGAACUGCCUUUGAUACUUCUCCGCUGGAAUACGGAUGCCGUGGGAGGAAUGAGUAGUGUAGCGGUGAAAUGCAUAGAUAUUACUCAGAACACCGAUUGCGAAGGCAUCUCACGAAUCCGUCAUUGACGCUGAGGCACGAAAGCGUGGGGAU
rnacentral:rRNA from 1 species